rnacentral:rRNA from 1 species
UGGGGAAUAUUGGACAAUGGGCGGAAGCCUGAUCCAGCAACGCCGCGUGAGGGAUGACGGCCUUCGGGUUGUAAACCUCUUUCAGCACAGACGAAGCGAAAGUGACGGUAUGUGCAGAAGAAGCACCGGCCAACUACGUGCCAGCAGCCGCGGUAAUACGUAGGGUGCGAGCGUUGUCCGGAAUUAUUGGGCGUAAAGGGCUCGUAGGCGGUUUGUCGCGUCGGGAGUGAAAACACACAGCUUAACUGUGUGCUGGCUUCCGAUACGGGCAGACUAGAGGUAUGCAGGGGAGAACGGAAUUCCUGGUGUAGCGGUGAAAUGCGCAGAUAUCAGGAGGAACACCGGUGGCGAAGGCGGUUCUCUGGGCAUUACCUGACGCUGAGGAGCGAAAGUGUGGGGAGCGAACAGG